ACUCACUACACAUCUCAAUUUUCAAAUACUGAUUAAAGCUUUGCAUCUAGGAUUUCUACACCGAAAAGAAAAAUCUUGUACAUCCAAAUGUCUGCCAGAUAUUUUACCUAUAUUGUCCCUCUUAAUUUGUUUAUCAUAUUAUUUUGUUUUAGUUAUUGUUCCUUUUUCAGUAUGCCUUUGCCAUGCCUUAUGUAGUAUUUCG
rnacentral:misc_RNA from 1 species